rnacentral:lncRNA from 1 species
GCUGAUUGAUUUCCUGAUCUUGAUUUCGACAGGGGAUUUUUAUUGUCUUGACCGUUUUGUGCACCUAGUCUCCAUCAGUAGCGGAAUCAAAUAUUUCAAAUUUUAAAGUCUAAAUUAAUCUUAUAAACACUCACAAAAUGGUUACUAAUUAAUCAUUCAAGAGAAUUCUGAUGAACCCCUUUGUUACAAAAUCAUAACAGGAACUGGGUCAGUUUCCUCUAACUAAAAGAUGAUUUAUACGAUACCCCGGUACUAACAAAUUAGACAUACAAAAGAACGCAAAAUAUACAGACAGUGAGUACUAGUACAUCUAUCUUAUCCACAAAAUUGUUCCAAAGAUAUCGAUUAAUGGUGAUUUCCAGAAGAAGAGUUUCUGGAAAGAAGAGACACAAUGGAGUGAAUAGCAGAAGCAGCAAUCCUCAUCUUUAUCUGUCCUCUCCUCCUCGGAACGCGAUUCGCCGCACCCCCCAAAGCUACAGCAGCUCCACGGCAGCUCUUGUUCAUCAUCAUCUCCAUCACACGUCCAAAUAGUUGAAAGUAUAUUCCUUUAGCUUGAAAAAAAGAUUAUAAAAUGAGUUCUUGCUGUUGUUGUUUUGAACUUGGUUAGUAGUGUAUAUAUAGAGAAUUGAGAGUGGAUAAGGAAGGGAAACCAAGGGCUGAAUCUGAUUCAUUGUUUCAGCAGAGAGGCAAAGUCAACAGGACAGCCUGUCAAUUACAUUAUUGGUUAAGUUUGAGAGACCAAGUUGAUUUGCUGCUGUUGGUGGGUGGAUUAUGGUAUCAUUAGUUUUUUAAUGAUUGUGUGUUCUUGGUGUAGUGUCUGCAAUUAUAUAUAUGCAUCAAUCAGCUUACACGUGAAUUCUGUACUAAGAGACACUUAUCUCCAGUGGAAUGGAUUACGAUCUCUAUCUAUCUAGGAAAGUUCGUUUCUUUGGUAGAUUUCUGGUGCUAGCUAGAGAUUCUGGUUUUUUUUAUUUUGGCUGAAAGGUGGCUUCCCAGGACAGUACUAUGCCUGUAUUUUCAAGCCAAGUCACUGACAAAGGAGAUUUGGUGGCUGUUGAUUCCCUCUUGAUUUUGACAGACAAAUGUUGUUUUUGUUUUAUUUGAUUGUUGGCAGCCAACUUGGUCAUUUAAAAGGGAGCACUGAUAGCUGUAUUUGCAGUGUGCUUACUGUUUAUCACAUGUUUGAGUGCUACAAGAUUCGUAAGAGUGUUUCUGAAACGAAGAAUAUGAAAAAUUCAGGACAGUACUAUGCUCAUUAGCUAACUCAUUUCAUUGUUCGAUAUAUGAAAAGGUACGACUUGAGAUUCGAGACCAUAAGUGUUCGAUAUGUAAGGUGUGACUGGUCUAGAACCCGAUAUAUCCGGGUCGCCAACACAUAAUGCUACUAACUGAGUUACUCUAUUGGAUGAGUGGUCUUAUUAAUACUUUGAAUAACGAUUCAUGACUAGCUGGCUGUUAAGCAUAUAAUAAAGCUUCAAAGUCUAAUGUCUGCCUGCUCUCAAUCAAAGAAACCAGAAACCCCAAACCACCCCAAUGUUUUGUCCAGUUGUUCUGUGGGUUCUACUCGCUAUGAGUUUCCUGUCGUGGCAGAAUCACAGAAGUUGGAUAGCCUCCUGUUAAGUCAUGAUGUAUGACUUUGAUUCAUCAUCUACAUCUUAAUUGUUUUUGGAGCUAGCACAAUAGCUGCAUUUUAUGUGAAUAAUUAAGAUUAAAAAAAGUAAGGGGGAGUUACAGCUGCUUACUGUUCACGUGAACAGUAAAUCUCCCUUUUAAUGUAACCAUCAUUUCUUUAAUUUUAGUUGAUUUCUAACCAUUGUUUAUGUUUUAGUUUGUGUAAGGUAGUGGAAUAAUAUAUAAUAAUUAAGGUGGCAAUGGGCCAUGACAAAAAAGAAAGAUGGGAAUUUUCUUUUUUAUAAGUUUUUUUGAAUCUUAUGAUUUUAUUUAUUUGUUUUUAAUUAUUUAUAAAGUGUUUAAAUAUUUUCCUUCACUAAUAUUUUUUUUUAAUUUUUUAAAUACAACGACAUCAAUUUUGAUAUUUUUUUUACGACUCGACUCUAAUAUGCUUAUAUGGGUAUUCUAUCGAAUCUGAUCCGGUCAAAUAAGUUCAACCCAUAUAAUUUUUUAUUUAGUUCAACAUAUAUAUCAAAAUUAAAGUAAUUAUGAUUUUCUCCACAUUUUUAUUUUUAUUUUUUAAACUCCUUUUAUUUGCAUAAAAUAACUCCUCCAAGCCAAUACAAGAUAGUAACCGCAAUAAACAUUACAACAAUGUACAUUUAUGGGAUCAGAGACGUUUCCAAGAUAGAAAGUAACACGUGGUCACAUAUAAAAUAUUACUAAGUUAAAUAACAGAAGCGAUUAAACAUUACAACAGUGUCCAUUCAUGAUAUCAUUGACGGUUCGAGGAUUGAAAGUAGCACGCGGCCAAAUUUGAAACAUUACUAAGUUGAAAUAAAAAAAAUUCAUAAUUUAAUAAUUGGAUUUGUCACUCCCAACACCGAAAAGAGGAGGGCACGUACCCAGAGAAGUCACACCCUUGGUCUGUCAUGCGUGGGUUCGAACCCGAGACCUUCGGAUGACUAGCUGGCACAACUCCACUACUAAAGCAAUCAUGAUAUAUUUUAUUUUAUAUUAGUGUCAAGGCACUAUCAAAAAGUGAAAUAAACAUUAUUACAACGAUAUCCAUUCAUGCCUUCAUGAUAUGUGUUGAAAUCGAACCCAAGACCUCCGAGUCACCAAUCACUAAAGCAAUCUUUAUAUAUUUUAUUUCAGGUUUUUGUUAUGAGACCAUCAACAUUUUGUAAUGGUGCUAAAAAGUUGAUAUAAUAAUGACAUGAUAGUAUCUUAUAAUAUUGGUAUAAUAUAAUUAAGGGCAUAAUAAUGUCAUUUUACCAACUCAACAAUGAAUCAUUUUACCAACUCAACAAUGAUAUAAUAGUUGACACUCUCUUUUCUUUCCCUUACUGUUAACUUUCUUUUCCAUCCUUAUUUUUCAAAUGCUUUAUUAUUGAUGUUAUCGACCGUAUAAUAGUUGCUCUCGUGAUAACUAAAAAUUUAAAAUGAUAUGAAAUUCAAAAUAUUAAAAUCUUUAUAAUAUAAUGCAACCACCACACCAAUAACGAAUAAAAUCUUCGCGGCAACGCGCGGCCAUCCUAACUAGUCUUGUACUUAAACGUACUCCUUUGUUCUAAAUUGUAAUUAUUAUUGAAUGAUCUAUGUAAACUAAUAUGUUUUGAUUUUUCGCCACAUAUAUGGCUGUUUCUACCUAAAACUCUUUGUAAUGAUAUGCAUACGAGUGAGUAAACACAUACCACAGAUAAACUAACAGGUGAGCGGUAUUGCGCGUUAAAAAAAAACUAGUACUUGUUAAGCAACACCCUUAGUAACGGAAUAUGUCCUAUUUAUAUCUUGUUGGUCUUUAACACAUGGUGGAUUCUGGUUUAGACUCAUCUUCGAGGAUGGGAAUCUUGACUUAUUUUUAUAAAAAUGCAUGGCUUUAGAACUUUUAGAAGAUUGUUUUUUCACGACCAAGUAGCAGAGAAAAACAGAGGAUCUGGUCUGAUCUGACAUAAACAAUCCAGACAAGUUGAAAACUUGAAAUAUUUUUGGAACAAUUGGUAACCAUUCAAGACAAACCCAAUUGUUACAAAAUCAAAACAGGAACUGGGUCAGUUCAGUUCCCUCUAUAACUAAAAGGGACACAGGAGAAAAACGAAAAAUAUACAGACGGUGAGUACUAGCUAGUACAUUUAUCUAUCUACAAAAUUGUUCCAAAGAUAUCAAUUAAUGGUGAUUUCCAGAAGGUGAGUUUCUGGAAAGAAGAGACACGAUGGAGUGAAUAGCAGAAGCAGCAAUCCUCAUCUUUAUCUGUCCUCUCCUCCUCGGAACCAGAUUCGCCGUACCCCCCAAAGCUACAGCAGCUCCACGGCAGCUCUUGUUCAUCAUCAUCUCCAUCGCACGUUCAAAUUGUUGAAAGUAUAAUCCUUGGUUUGAACAAAGAUUGUAAAAUAAGUCCUUUUGUUUUUCUGCAGCUGUUGUUGUUGUUGUCGUCUUGAACUUGGUUAGUGUAUAUAUAGAGAAUUGAAAGGGGGAUAAGGAAGGAAAACCAGGGGCUGAAUCUGAUUCAUUUCAGAAGAGAGGCAAAGUCAAUAGGACAGUCUGUCAAUCAUAUUAUUGGUUAAGGUUGUGAGACCAAGUUGAUUUGCUGCUGUUGGUGGGUUUGAUUAUCUGGUAUCAUUAGUUCUUUGAGGUUCAAUGAUUUUGUUUUUUGUUUACACGUGCAUCAUGUUUUAAAGAGAGACAGUAGCCAUAAGAAUGGAUUAUGAUCUAUUAGGAAAGUUCGUUUUCCCAGUGGAUUUCUGGUGUUAGAGAUUGUGGUUUUGAUUUUGGCAGAGUCCAG